AAUAGAUACCCCGGUAGUCCACGCCGUAAACGAUGAGUGCUAGGUGUUAGGGGGUCCAACCCUUAGUGCCGAAGUUAACACAUUAAGCACUCCGCCUGGGGAGUACGGUCGCAAGACUGAAACUCAAAGGAAUUGACGGGGGCCCGCACAAGCGGUGGAGCAUGUGGUUUAAUUCGAAGCAACGCGAAGAACCUUACCAGGGCUUGACAUCCCUCUGACCGUUCUAGAGAUAGAGCUUCCCUUCGGGGCAGAGGUGACAGGUGGUGCAUGGUUGUCGUCAGCUCGUGUCGUGAGAUGUUGGGUUAAGUCCCGCAACGAGCGCAACCCUUGUCCUUAGUUGCCAGCAUUCAGUUGGGCACUCUAGGGAGACUGCCGGUGACAAACCGGAGGAAGGUGGGGAUGACGUCAAAUCAUCAUGCCCCUUAUGUCCUGGGCUACACACGUGCUACAAUGGCUGGUACAAAGGGUAGCGAAGCAGUGAUGUGGAGCCAAUCCCAAAAAGCCAGUCACAGUUCGGAUUGUAGG
rnacentral:rRNA from 1 species